rnacentral:rRNA from 2 species
GGACUACCCGGGUAUCUAAUCCUGUUUGCUCCCCACGCUUUCGCACAUGAGCGUCAGUACAUUCCCAAGGGGCUGCCUUCGCCUUCGGUAUUCCUCCACAUCUCUACGCAUUUCACCGCUACACGUGGAAUUCUACCCCUCCCUAAAGUACUCUAGUUACCCAGUCUGAAAUGCAAUUCCCAGGUUAAGCCCGGGGCUUUCACACCUCACUUAAAUAACCGCCUGCGUGCCCUUUACGCCCAGUUAUUCCGAUUAACGCUCGCACCCUCCGUAUUACCGCGGCGGCUGGCAC